rnacentral:misc_RNA from 1 species
CGCACAUUGCGCCCCUCGGUACUCCGGGGGGCAUGCCUGUCCGAGCGUCAUUAAAAACUAUCAAGCCCGGCUUGGUCUUGGGCGCGGUCUGGGGACCCGCCCGCAACCCGUCGGCGGUGCCUGUUCGGCCCUGAGCGUAGCAAGAUACUCGCUCCAGGGACCCAGCGGUGCCUGCCAGCAGUCUACCCCCCCAUAGUUUGACCUCGGAUCAGGUAGGGAUACCCGCUGAACUUAA